rnacentral:rRNA from 1 species
GAUGAACGCUAGCGGGAGGCCUAACACAUGCAAGCCGAGCGGUAUUGUUUCUUCGGAGAUGAGAGAGCGGCGUACGGGUGCGUAACACGUGUGCAACCUGCCUUUAUCUGGGGGAUAGCCUUUCGAAAGGAAGAUUAAUACUCCAUAAUAUAUUGAACGGCAUCGUUUAAUAUUGAAAGCUCCGGCGGAUAGAGAUGGGCACGCGCAAGAUUAGCUAGUUGGUGAGGUAACGGCUCACCAAGGCGAUGAUCUUUAGGGGGCCUGAGAGGGUGAUCACCCACACUGGUACUGAGACACGGACCAGACUCCUACGGGAGGCAGCAGUGAGGAAUAUUGGUCAAUGGGUGCAAGCCUGAACCAGCCAUCCCGCGUGAAGGACGACUGCCGUAUGGGUUGUAAACUUCUUUUGUAUAGGGAUAAACCUACCCUCGUGAGGGUAGCUGAAGGUACUAUACGAAUAAGCACCGGCUAACUCCGUGCCAGCCGCCGCGGUAA